rnacentral:rRNA from 1 species
UUAAGAUUUUAUUGCGGAAGGGGGUUGCAAUGUUAUCAUUCACUUCAGUUUUGUAACUGCAGCAUGUAUGGCAUCUGCAAGAUGGGGUACAGUCCUGGAGCUCAAACCAGCCAUGCUGAUCCUCCUGCAAGACAAUGUCAUGUAAAUGUGAUAUUCCUGCCUCAUAAAGGCUACUUGAUCACUGUUGAGCCCAGUGAAAGUAAACAUCCCAAUCUGCUUAAUGAUGUGGGACCAAUCUCCAGAGUACCUCUGAUUUUCAGCGCAUUAAAAAGCUGCUCCCUCAUGCUAAUUAUCCUAUCAGCCAUGGCCUUCAGCUCCAGAGUCCAUUCGUCGAACAUCGCACUAAAAAUU